CCAAUAGCGUAUAUUAAAGUUGUUGCAGUUAAAAAGCUCGUAGUUGAAUUUCGGGAUUGACACAUCGGUCGUGCCUUAAGGGGUAUGAACUGGUGUAGUCAAUUUCUCACCUUCUGGAGAACCGCGAUGCCCUUAAUUGGGUGUCGCGGGGAACCAGGACCUUUACUUUGAAAAAAUUAGAGUGUUUAAAGCAGGCAUUUUGCUUGAAUACAUUAGCAUGGAAUAAUAAAAUAGGACGGCAUGAUUCUAUUUUGUUGGUUUCUAGGAUCACCGUAAUGAU
rnacentral:rRNA from 1 species